GACGAACGCUGGCGGCGUGCCUAAUACAUGCAAGUAGAACGCAGUUUCGAACGGGUGAGUAACGCGUAGGUAACUGCCUCAUAGCGGGGGAUAACUAUUGGAAACGAUAGCUAAUACCGCAUACUGUUAGAUGGACCUGCGUUGUAUUAGCUAGUUGGUGAGGUAAAGGCUCACCAAGGCGACGAUACAUAGCCGACCUGAGAGGGGUACAGGCCACACGUGGACUGAGAAACGGCCCAGACUCCUACGGGAGGCAGCAGGAGGGAAUCAUCGGCAAUGGACGGAAGUCUGACCGAGCAACGCCGCGUGAGUGAAGAAGGGUUUCGGAUCGGAAAGCUCUGUUGUUAGAGAAGCGGUAACUAACGAGAAAGUGACGGCUAACUACGUGCCAGCAGCCGCGGUAAUUC
rnacentral:rRNA from 1 species